AACGAACGCUGGCGGCAUGCCUAACACAUGCAAGUCGAACGAGACCUUCGGGUCUAGUGGCGCACGGGUGCGUAACGCGUGGGAACCUGCCCUUAGGUUCGGAAUAACUCCCCGAAAGGGGUGCUAAUACCGGAUAAUGUCUUCGGACCAAAGAUUUAUCGCCUUUGGAUGGGCCCGCGUUGGAUUAGCUAGUUGGUAGGGUAAAAGCCUACCAAGGCGACGAUCCAUAGCUGGUCUGAGAGGAUGAUCAGCCACACUGGGACUGAGACACGGCCCAGACUCCUACGGGAGGCAGCAGUGGGGAAUAUUGGACAAUGGGCGAAAGCAUGAUCCAGCAAUGCCGCGUGAGUGAUGAAGGCAUUAGGGUUGUAAAGCGCUUUUACCCGGGAUGAUAAUGACAGUACCGGGAGAAUAAGCGACGGCUAACUCCGU
rnacentral:rRNA from 1 species